ACGGAGGGUGAAAGCGUUACUCGGAAUCACUGGGCGUAAAGAGCGUGUAGGCGGGGAUAUAAGUCAGAAGUGAAAUCUUAUAGCAUAACUAUAGAACUGCUAUUGAAACUGUAGAACUAGAAUGAGGGAGAGGUAGAUGGAAUUUCUGGUGUAGGCGUAAAAUCCGUAGAGAUCUGAGGGAAUACCGAUUGCGAAGGCGACCUACUGGAUCAUUACUGACGCUGAGACACGAAAGCUUGGGGAGCAAACAG
rnacentral:rRNA from 1 species